CGCCCGCCGCGAACUUAGAAGGGCUUCUUUGGGGUAGACACUUGGUGUCUUUAAAUGUCGUCGCACGUCUCAUUGUAAACCUUUCCUUUCUAUUACGUCGACCGAUCGGAUCGUUCGGUCGCACGCGCAACGAAAGGAGUUUUCCUCCGAGACUGCCACCCGGCCCCGUUAUUUUUUAGUCGACGUGCUUGCGACUGUACCGUAUGGAGAAAGGAAAAACGAGAGACAACUUUUAACGGUGGAUCUCUUGGCUCGUGCAUCGAUGAAGAAGGCAGCCAGCUGCGAUAAGUAGUGUGAAUUGCAGAAUUCAGUGAAUCAUCGAAUCUUUGAACGCAAAUGGCGCUCUCGGGUUCUCCCGGGAGCACGUCCGUCUGAGUGUCGGCAUACAUAUAAUAACGCGCGAGAAGACCGCGCGGCGUUGAGGCGUCGCGGCGUCCAGGCCCGCGUCCCUCGAAAUGCAGGAGAACCGCCGUGUAGCGAGAUCCUCGGAGGCCUAAAACGAAUUGGUUCCCCGCGAUCAGCAGCAGCCGGUUCGGUUCGAAAAAAAGUGACACCAUAUCGCAUCUCGACCUCA
rnacentral:rRNA from 1 species